GCAUAGCGACCCCAGGUCAGGCGG
rnacentral:rRNA from 2 species